rnacentral:lncRNA from 1 species
AGGGGUUCUUGAUAUUUGAUAUGGUCUUGUAUCUAAAGUUCUCUCUUUUAAACAAUUGCCAUCUUCUGUGUACUGAAAAAGUUUUCUGGAAUAAAAGCAACAAAGCAAUAACUUAUUUGUUCGAAUAACUUCUAUUCCUGUAAUAGAAGUAAUGCCGUGGUUCUUCAAAUCAAUCGGCUUGAUACAUUUUAGCGAUAACGAAAC